rnacentral:rRNA from 1 species
AUGAACGCUGGCGGCGUGCCUAAUACAUGCAAGUCGAGCGAACGGACGAGAAGCUUGCUUCUCUGAUGUUAGCGGCGGACGGGUGAGUAACACGUGGAUAACCUACCUAUAAGACUGGGAUAACUUCGGGAAACCGGAGCUAAUACCGGAUGAUAUUUUGAACCGCAUGGUUCAAAAGUGAAAGACGGUCUUGCUGUCACUUAUAGAUGGAUCCGCGCUGCAUUAGCUAGUUGGUAAGGUAACGGCUUACCAAGGCAACGAUGCAUAGCCGACCUGAGAGGGUGAUCGGCCACACUGGAACUGAGACACGGUCCAGACUCCUACGGGAGGCAGCAGUAGGGAAUCUUCCGCAAUGGGCGAAAGCCUGACGGAGCAACGCCGCGUGAGUGAUGAAGGUCUUCGGAUCGUAAAACUCUGUUAUUAGGGAAGAACAUAUGUGUAAGUAACUGUGCACAUCUUGACGGUACCUAAUCAGAAAGCCACGGCGAACUACGU